rnacentral:rRNA from 1 species
UACGUAGGGUCCGAGCGUUGUCCGGAAUUACUGGGCGUAAAGAGCUCGUAGGUGGUUUGUCGCGUUGUUCGUGAAAACUCACAGCUCAACUGUGGGCGUGCGGGCGAUACGGGCAGACUAGAGUACUGCAGGGGAGACUGGAAUUCCUGGUGUAGCGGUGGAAUACGCAGAUAUCAGGAGGAACACCGGUGGCGAAGGCGGGUCUCUGGGCAGUAACUGACGCUGAGGAGCGAAAGCGUGGGGAGCGAACAGG